GUCAAGUUAGUUUAAUAAAUAAAAUAUCAGCCUGUGGAUUUGAAGAAGAAAAGUAAUUUCACUUGAUCU
rnacentral:tRNA from 1 species